UAGGGAAUCUUCGGCAAUGGACGAAAGUCUGACCGAGCAACGCCGCGUGAGUGAAGAAGGUUUUCGGAUCGUAAAACUCUGUUGUUAGAGAAGAACAAGGACGUUAGUAACUGAACGUCCCCUGACGGUAUCUAACCAGAAAGCCACGGCUAACUACGUGCCAGCAGCCGCGGUAAUACGUAGGUGGCAAGCGUUGUCCGGAUUUAUUGGGCGUAAAGCGAGCGCAGGCGGUUACUUAAGUCUGAUGUGAAAGCCCCUGGCUCAACCGGGGCGGGUCAUUGGAAAAUGGGAGACGUGAGUGCAGAAGAGGAGAGUGGAAUUCCAUGUGUAGCGGUGAAAUGCGUAGAUAUAUGGAGGAACACCAGUGGCGAAGGCGGCUCUCUGGUCUGUAACUGAAGCUGAGGAUCGAAAGCGUGGGGAGCAAACAGG
rnacentral:rRNA from 1 species